CAGCUCCUUGAUAGCUGUGUUGUGCUUAACUGGUGUGCCAGUUGCUGUGAGGAAUCCCCUUGUCUUCCAGAUUAGUCCGAAGUCAUGUGCCACGCCUAGUGCAUAUCUUGAGUCAGUGUAGAUAUUGGCGCGCUUUCCCUCAGCGAUCCUGCAUGCUGUGGUGAGAGCUUGUAGCUCAGCUUCUUGGGCUGACAUAGAUCAGGGAAGUGGGGAUGCUUGGAGCACUGUG